ACACUGUACAAGCUGUGUGUGUGUAAUAAAUCACUUUUUGGACACCUCCGGGGACUCUGUCUGUGCUUACACUUUUGAAAAAUUUUAAUACAAAGAAAUGUUCCUAAUCUUCCUCAUCAUUUUGGUGCUACCCUGGCAGACAGCUGGAAAUGGCCGAGACAGAUGCUGCUUCAAGUUUUACCCAGGAAGAAUUAGAGCAGACCUUGUGGAGUCGUAUUACCUGACUGAUCACCGAUGCCAAAGGCCUGGUGCCAUCUUUGUUACCAAAAAGGCUCGUUCAAUCUGUAUGGAUCCGUCUCUCUCCUGGGUCGAUAGCAUCAUGAAAACGCUGGACGAGAGCACUUUUUAAACCAGCUGCCUGCUCAUCAUUUCAUUUUGUUCUGCUUUAUCAGAUAAUAUCAUAUCCAAUGUACCUUUAUGACUUUUGUAAUUAGUGCAACUCUGUCUCAACUGAUCCAAAGCUAGUUAUUAGCCUGAAGCAAUCCACUGAAAAGUCCUUUGAUUGUGUAAUGUCUCUUUGCUUUGUGUUAUGUGUUAUCCUCCAAAAUAAACACCACAAAAAUACAA